UACGUAGGGUGCGAGCGUUGUCCGGAAUUACUAGGCGUAAAGAGCUCGUAGGUGGUUUGUCGCGUUGUUCGUGAAAUCUCACGGCUUAACUGUGAGCGUGCGGGCGAUACGGGCAGACUAGAGUACUGCAGGGGAGACUGGAAUUCCUGGUGUAGCGGUGGAAUGCGCAGAUAUCAGGAGGAACACCGGUGGCGAAGGCGGGUCUCUGGGCAGUAACUGACGCUGAGGCGCGAAAGCGUGGGGAGCAAACAGG
rnacentral:rRNA from 1 species